rnacentral:rRNA from 1 species
AACUGCUUUUAUGCGGGUAUAAAGGAGCAUACGUGUAUGUUUUUGCAGUUACCGCAUGAAUAAGGACCGGCUAAUUCCGUGCCAGCAGCCGCGGUAAUACGGAAGGUUCUGGUGUUAUCCGGAUUUAUUGGGUUUAAAGGGAGCGCAGGCUGUCAGAUAAGCGUGUCGUGAAAUGCGGUUGCUCAACAUCCGCACUGCAGCGCGAACUGUCUGACUUGAGUACGCACGACGUUGGUGGAAUUUGCCGUGUAGCGGUGAAAUGCUUAGAUAUGGCGAAGAACUCCGAUUGCGAAGGCAGCUGACGGGAGCGCUACUGACGCUCAUGCUCGAAAGUGCGGGUAUCGAACAGGAUUAGAUACCCUGGUAGUCC